rnacentral:tRNA from 1 species
UACUAUAUAGCUUAAACAAAGCGGUGCUUUGAAGGGGCAACGAUAUAAUAUUAUAGUAA